rnacentral:rRNA from 1 species
ACUGCUCAGUAACACGUAGUCAACAUACCCAGAGGACGUGGAUAACCUCGGGAAACUGAGGAUAAACCGCGAUAGACCAUAAUGUCUGGAAUGAUUUAUGGUUCAAAUCUACAUGGCCUCUGGAUUGGACUGCGGCCGAUCAGGCUGUUGGUGAGGUAAUGGCCCACCAAACCUGAAACCGGUACGGGCUCUGAGAGGAGAAGCCCGGAGAUGGGCACUGAGACAAGGGCCCAGGCCCUAUGGGGCGCAGCAGGCGCGAAAUCUUUGCAAUAGGCGAAAGCCUGACAAGGUUACUCUGAGUGAUCUCCGCUAAGGAAAUCUUUUGACACCUCUAAAAAUGGUGUAGAAUAAGGGGUGGGCAAGCCUGGUGUCAGCCGCCGCGGUAAUACCAGCACCCCGAGUGGUCGGGACGAUUAUUGGGCCUAAAGCAUCCGUAGCCGGUUCCUUAAGUCCUCCGUUAAAUCCACCUGCUUAACAGAUGGGCUGCGGAGGAUACUAUAGAGCUAGGAGGCGGGAGAGGCAAGCGGUACUCAGUGGGUAGGGGUAAAACCCGUUGAUCCAUUGAAGACCACCAGUGGCGAAGGCGGCUUGCCAGAACGCGCUCGACGGUGAGGGAUGAAAGCUGGGGGAGCAAACCGGAUUAGAUACCCGGGUAGUCCCAGCUGUAAACGAUGCAGACUCGGUGAUGAACAGGCUUCGUGCCUGUUCAGUGCCGCAGGGAAGCCGUUAAGUCUGCCGCCUGGGGAGUACGGUCGCAAGACUGAAACUUAAAGGAAUUGGCGGGGGAG